GGGACAAUGAUAUAAACCUAUUUAAGUUAAGGGAUGAUAAGUGAAUUUAGCCAUAAGUUGACCUAGAAACCUGUAAUAGCAGGUUAUAUAGAUUUGAGUGAUACUCAAAUUGAAGUUUGGGAUUUUUAUAAUAUAAAUUAAAGUUAAUAGACGAUAUUAAUAUAAUCACCUAAAUUGAGGGACUAUGAGAUAAAUUAACCUAGACAAUUUAUAUAUUCAGCUUGUGACAUUUUUAUUAACUAGUAAAACCUCAAAAUCAUUUUUAUAAAUUACACAGAUAAAGAGAUUUUUACCUCUUCCAUGUUUGGUCGAGAGUG
rnacentral:misc_RNA from 1 species